rnacentral:lncRNA from 1 species
UUGCAAAUACAAUUUCUAAAUUAGGAAAGUCGCUAUGGCUUUGCUCUGCCCCUUUGGAGACACUUGCUUGAGCUCAGAAUGAUGCCAUGGCCAGCGUGCCAGGAGAAAAUGCUGUCUCCAUUGUCUCCAAAUGCAGCAGGGUUGUAAAGGUGUCCUUAAGAAAAAAUUCUUUCCUUGUUUUAGUCUUAGAGGGAUCAUGCGUGUUAAGUUCAAGCAGAACAUUCUAGAUAGGGAUGGAGGCAGAACCGUAUCAGUAAGUAGAAGCAAGCGACCGUGGAUGUCUGGUUUGGAUGGAGAGGCAGGAUUUUAUGCCGUUAGGUUAUGAGCUAGGAGCCAGCUCAGCGUAGCUGUUUUGGAUCUUUGAUCUCCAAACGUGCCUCAAAAGCUGGGCCUGGAAGCUGGGCGCUGGCAUCCCGGAGCACCCUGGUGGUGGUCACCAGCCCAGAGUAGAUUCCUGAUGGUUGGCCAAGUGCAAAGGGAGGUUUGUGAAACCCACUCACCUGACAUUCCUGAGUGUGCAGGUGAGAGACUGGCUGUGUGUUCACCGGGAAGCUUUCACCGCCAUCUCUUAAGUAAGGGCUGUGGGUCAUGAUCUAGGUUUCUAAAGACCAGUGGUUUUCCUUUCCAAUGAGACUUCAUUUGAACAAAGUAUCUUUCGUUUGUCACUUUUCCUCCUUUUUAAACUUAGAAAAAUAUUUGACACACACCAAAAGAAAUGUUUUAAAAUCAUCUUGGAUUUGUGUCCCAUUUCACUUUUGCUUUGUGACUUCUCCGUUUAACAAUAAAUGAUCUAAAACAUAAA